GCCACGGUGGUCUGGCGGUUAGAACGCUGGCCUUGAAAUUCUGGGGUCUCGGGUUCGAUUCCCGGCGGUGCCC
rnacentral:tRNA from 1 species